GCAAGACUCUGUCUCAAAAAUAAAUAAAUAAAUAAAUAAAACAGAAGUUGUCCUCCUGAGGGGAUGGAAAGAGAGACUGAGGCAGUUAACUGGGCCUUCCUUCCUCUGGGCCACAGGCCUGGCCUCUGUUACAUACCUGGAGCCCAACAGGCAAGGAUAAAGCAGUUUGCUUAAGAAACUGCAGGAGAACAAGCUGGGACAACACACAUUCGUUCUCCUUAGGGUGACGGAGGGAGUGGUUUCAGAGGCACAGUCUGGCAGAGCCUACGUGAGCAUUUUCUUGCCAAGAUCACUCCUGCUUGAUCAAUCUACUGAGCAAACAGCACUCUGCUUGCAGGGGACUUGUGCUGAGGCAGCUGCACCAUGAACUACAUACAGCAAAUGAUGAGCCCGAGGGCAGACAGCAGUAAGACUCCACCUCCCACCGCUGCGAUGAGGAUGACAGUCAAGUCUGUGAGCAGAGACAUAAAGAGACAGAUGAAGAGGCAGCUGGGGUGUUUCUGACUCAGCAAAAGUGGCCUUGAGUCUUGUUGUCCUCAGUUCCUGAAGCUAUCACUGUGUAUCAAGGGAGCCCAGGGGCAGCCCCACACUGCAUCCCUAGAGUAGGUCUGGUCUCAGCCUUGCUUCAGCAAAUGGACUGAAACUGGGAAAUAAGAAGUAACACACAUAGACACAUUUCUCUUCCUGCCUGCCCAGAAAACCACUACCUCAAAGCCUUCUCUCUCAAGCAGAUGCACUCUUAUCCUUUGAGGCUGCAGAUGCCAGGGACAUGCUUCCAUUGCAGCAUCAUCAAGAUGGCUUGGGAUCAAGAUGACUUGGGCGCACUAUCCUCCCUACCAGGCCCUGAGCAACACCAUCAUUUCUCAUUCCUAAUUCCCAGGAGAGCAUGGCACAGAGAGGUGCUCAGCAUCUUCCUGAGACUUAUAGAAGAAGCCAAGGAGCUGAGAGCAGCAGAGACAAGAAACAGAGGGAGAGUGAGAAAGUCCCGGGCCAUUCCGCAACUCAAGCAGGAGAAAAACCCAGGAGUGGGGUGGCGUAGGCGGGGCCACCACAAGGAGCCCGUGCAUCAGGGGGCGCAGGCUGUUUCUGGAUCAUUCCACUGGGAAGGGGACAAAACCCAUCUUUUAUGACCCAUGUUCAGUUCUCAGUUGGAGUCAGAUGAGGAAGAGAAUGCCCAGCAAGGUAAAAUGGCAGAGCUAAGAUGCAAACAAACUCAGGUCUGCAAUGCCCAAACCCCUGUUCCUUUCCCUCCUUGUAUCUGAAAACUCUUCUUGGCACCAGGGGAGGUGCAUCUGGGAGUGGCUGUGUCUGCCUGCAUGUUGAUGCUGGUGGCAUGCACGUGUGUGGGCCAGGAGGUGGGUCUGUGACAUCCUGGGUGAAAGGCAGUGGAGCGAGGGCUUCUCUGGCAUUGCUGAUGGCUACCUGAAUCUCCUGUUUCUCUGGGCCGGCUCUCUAGCAGCCAGGUGGGGACGCACAUCUCGAUCUGCCCUCAGGUGCUCUAAACCGAGGUGAAGGUUCACAAAGCCGCCAGAACAGCUGCUUUUUCCUUGCAGAUGCCUAUCUGGAGGGGGUGUCUCUUGGCGACAGGAAUGGCAUUUCCCACAGAGGUGUUGGUGGCGCUUAAAACCCCGUUUAGUCAGGCCACACAGGAAAUCUGCCCAAUGUUUUCUGAGCCUGGGCUGGAAGAGGCCUGCAAGGAAACCACAGGAACACACAAUUUUUGCUCAUAAUGCAAUUCAACAGAGAGUUCUUGAAGGCCUGUGUGGGCACAUCUCUGAGACACCAAGAUGGUAAAAUUCCAGGAUUCUCCCCACACCCAGGGAGGACAACCUAGCUGCCCCACUGUGCACUUUGGAGGCACAGCCCUCAUUAGAUUGCUGUGAGGAUUUGGAAGGUCAAGUUCCUGGCAUCUACAACCCAUGCUAAUUUCUUCUCUUCCUUACUUUAGAGCAUGAUAUUCAUUGCUAACUGACAAAGAAAUCAUUUUUAAAAUGUGAAACAUUUCUUCUUUCUUGUUUACCUCAUUGACUUGAAAAAAAAUCUUUACUCCAUGGCCCUGGUCAUUUGAAUAGAAAAAUGCAAAAAUCAUAAUGAUUUUAUAGAUUAUUAGAGCCACGCAAACAGCCAAUUUAGACAAUCCAGGGCAAAAUACAUUCUGAUAUCUUAAGCAUCCUCUUUUCUUACUUGUACAUGUUUCCCCUUCAAGUCACUCAGAAAAAUGAGAGGACUUGGCCUCUGUUUCAGUCUACCUGCUGGAAAAAUCCUCGAGGGAAGUGUCUUUGUGGUGGAUGUGGUCUGACUUGGCCUGGAAGAUGGGGAGGGAAAGCCUGAACACAAAACUGCAGGCCUGCGAGGGACUGGGGCCUUACCUGCCCCAAUCCCCUUGUUCUGUAGAGGAGGAGACGGAAGCUCAAGCUGCAGCCAAACAGCUCAUGCAUGGCAGGGCAGGGAACCCAGUCUAAGUCACGAUCCAUUCUGGAAGACCUUAACACUUUCCACUGACUGUGAGAGCUGCCGAAUACAUUUUGACCCAUGGGUGGUUCCUGUCCUUGGUGAUUCCCCGACCUCUGGUGAGAUCUUUUCCUCUCUGGCAAGCCUCUGGAUGUUCUGACUUCAGAGGGGUUCUGGCUGCAGCUUUAACUCAGCCAUAUGUUGUGACAGCUCUUGGAGCAGCAUUACACGGGAGCAAUAUCCUUCCUGCUAAUUGGAUCUCAGAAUUCAUUUUCGGACCAAAGACAUCAAAUAAACCCAGGAAAUACGAAGCCGUUUGCAGUUAUGACUUGAGACGAAUUGAGUUGUUCAUCCUCUAAAGUUGUGUUCUGUUCCUUAUCAGCCUCAUCUGAAAUCUCAGACACAAAAGCAGAGAUGUUUCUGCCAGGAGGGGCGGAAAGUUCGGUCUGGUUUUGAUAUGUGUCUGGAGAUGAUAAACUUGGGAAGGGAAAUAUAGCAGAUCCAAUCCUCCCUCCCCCAUCUCCAUUAGGUCUUUGGCCUUGAUAGAUUUCAAUAUCCUGUGCAGCUGAUGUCUGACCCACGCAUCAAGAAUACAGCCUUCACACACCUGCCGUGAGAAGCCCUCUAUGACCUUCUGCAGAGGGAGGGAACUGCCUAAGAGCUGCUGAGUGCAGGAAUGCAGGGUGCUAAGAAGCAGGUACCCAGUUUGGGGUUAAAAUAUGUAUAAUAUAUCCAUUUGAAUACCCAUCAAUAAAUAUCAGUCAUGCUCACUUUUGGGUGCUGGGGGUUAUUGGAGAUAUUGAUUCAUUUGUUUUAUGAGUGG
rnacentral:lncRNA from 1 species